GCAGCCUACAAAGGUGUUCCACCUAAGUGCUUGUUCUGCAAGAAUCCAGACUCUCAGCACUCUAUGUUGGGAAUCCUGACUUAGGAAGUGCUGUGACUGAGAUGAUAUGGAUUUUGAAGACCGCUGGAGACCAAAUCUGACUGUUACAAACACAGUGAUAUUUUCAGAGUAUACAACAUCUUUAUCUAUUAUCAAAACAACAGAGCUUUGUUAAAUUUUGGCCAAGUUUCUCAGCUUACAAGGAAGUCAUUGCAGUUUUCUACAACUGAGAAAGUUUGACCCAACACUCCUACCUUGCCUUAGGUCAGCUCUUGCCUAAGAAGAACCAAUUGGCACAUCUCUGCAGAACCCAGGUCAUGGAGGAUCUGCUGACAGGAAAUGAACCAUGAGUUUAAUGCAAGUUUGUCAGUGGAGGUAUGCAGCUCUGACUGCUGUCUUCUGAUUACUCGGGGACUGAAUUAUUGAGCAGACCUAAUUCAUGGCAAGCUGCCACUUGUGUUCCUGGGAAGGGCAAAUAUAAUAAGAAACAAAUGCCUCAACUGCAAUUUUGUACUGUCUCCAAGUGUCUCCCAUUGUGCUUC